GCGGAUGAUUAUACAUUUUUAACCCCGAGAUUUUUAAUGAAGAUCAAAACGCAACAACAACACUCUAAUUUUUUCAUGACG
rfam:Aureobasidium pullulans var. melanogenum CBS 110374 unplaced genomic scaffold scaffold_4, whole genome shotgun sequence.